UGACCGAGUACUUUUUGUAGAACGGGCCAACGAGUUACGUUAAGUAGCAAGGUUAAGCACUUAAGGUGUGGAGCCGUAGCGAAAGCGAGUUUUAACUGAGCGUUCAGUUACUUGACGUAGACCCGAAACCGGGCGACCUACCCAUGAGCAGGAUGAAGCGAAAGUAAAAGUUCGUGGAGGUCCGAACCCACGAGCGUUGAAAAGCUCGGGGAUGACUUGUGGGUAGCGGUGAAAUUCCAAUCGAGCCCGGAGAUAGCUGGUUCUCCCCGAAAUAGCUUUAGGGCUAGCCUCAAGGU
rnacentral:rRNA from 1 species